rnacentral:rRNA from 1 species
AGUGAACGCUGGCGGUAGGCCUAACACAUGCAAGUCGAACGGCAGCACAGUAAGAGCUUGCUCUUACGGGUGGCGAGUGGCGGACGGGUGAGGAAUACAUCGGAAUCUACUUUUUCGUGGGGGAUAACGUAGGGAAACUUACGCUAAUACCGCAUACGACCUACGGGUGAAAGCAGGGGAUCUUCGGACCUUGCGCGAUUGAAUGAGCCGAUGUCGGAUUAGCUAGUUGGCGGGGUAAAGGCCCACCAAGGCGACGAUCCGUAGCUGGUCUGAGGGGAUGAUCAGCCACACUGGAACUGAGACACGGUCCAGACUCCUACGGGAGGCAGCAGUGGGGAAUAUUGGACAAUGGGCGCAAGCCUGAUCCAGCCAUACCGCGUGGGUGAAGAAGGCCUUCGGGUUGCAAAGCCCUUUUGUUGGGAAAGAAAAGCAGCAGGUUAAUACCCCGCUGUUCUGACGGUACCCAAAGAAUAAGCACCGGCUAACUUCGUG